rnacentral:rRNA from 1 species
AUUGAACGCUGGCGGCAUGCUUUACACAUGCAAGUCGAACGGCAGCGCGGGCUUCGGCCUGGCGGCGAGUGGCGAACGGGUGAGUAAUGCAUCGGAACGUGCCCAGUAGUGGGGGAUAGCCCGGCGAAAGCCGGAUUAAUACCGCAUACGACCUGAGGGUAAAAGCGGGGGACCGAAAGGCCUCGCGCUAUUGGAGCGGCCGAUGUCGGAUUAGCUAGUUGGUGGGGUAAAGGCUUACCAAGGCGACGAUCCGUAGCUGGUCUGAGAGGACGACCAGCCACACUGGGACUGAGACACGGCCCAGACUCCUACGGGAGGCAGCAGUGGGGAAUUUUGGACAAUGGGGGCAACCCUGAUCCAGCCAUGCCGCGUGCGGGAAGAAGGCCUUCGGGUUGUAAACCGCUUUUGUUCGGGAAGAAAUCCUCUGGGCUAAUACCCCGGGGGGAUGACGGUACCGGAAGAAUAAGCACCGGCUAACUACGUG